rnacentral:rRNA from 1 species
UGCAAGUCGAGCGGAAACGAAGAGGUGCUUGCACCUCUGGCGUCGAGCGGCGGACGGGUGAGUAAUGCUUGGGAAUAUGCCUUAUGGUGGGGGACAACAGUUGGAAACGACUGCUAAUACCGCAUGAUGUCUACGGACCAAAGUGGGGGACCUUCGGGCCUCACGCCAUAAGAUUAGCCCAAGUGGGAUUAGCUAGUUGGUGAGGUAAUGGCUCACCAAGGCGACGAUCCCUAGCUGGUUUGAGAGGAUGAUCAGCCACACUGGGACUGAGACACGGCCCAGACUCCUACGGGAGGCAGCAGUGGGGAAUAUUGCACAAUGGGCGCAAGCCUGAUGCAGCCAUGCCGCGUGUGUGAAGAAGGCCUUCGGGUUGUAAAGCACUUUCAGUAAGGAGGAAAGGUUAAGUGUUAAUAGCACUUAGCUGUGACGUUACUUACAGAAGAAGCACCGGCUAACUCCGUGCCAGCAGCCGCGGUAAUACGGAGGGUGCGAGCGUUAAUCGGAAUUACUGGGCGUAAAGCGUACGCAGGCGGUUUGUUAAGCGAGAUGUGAAAGCCCCGGGCUCAACCUGGGAACUGCAUUUCGAACUGGCAAACUA